rnacentral:lncRNA from 1 species
CCAUGGGGAGCAAAUCAAAGAACCCAGUCUGCAUGCUGUCCCUUCUCCCCACGAGGCUGCCUCUGUGCCAUAUCAUAGGGACUCCGCUGUGGUGGCAAGGAGGAUGUUCACAGAUGCUGAGAACAGGGCAACGAAGAUCAAGAACGUUCUUGAUACUUGGACGGUGCAUGAAGGUCCCGAUGCUAAUUGUCCUGCCUCUCGCUCAAUCCUGGGUUUUACCGACUGGGUGUCACAUCCUUCUUUCCAGUGUGUGUUUCCCGGGUGUGACAAGAGCCAGCUCUACUCUACUCAGCAGCCACCUUCUGCCA